rnacentral:rRNA from 1 species
UGUGGCGCACGGGUGAGUAACGCGUGGGAACCUGCCUUUUGGUACGGGAUAACGUUUGGAAACGAACGCUAAUACCGUAUAUGUCUUUGGAUGAAAGAUUUAUCGCCAAAAGAGGGGCCCGCGUCUGAUUAGGUAGUUGGUGAGGCAAUGGCUCACCAAGCCUUCGAUCAGUCGCUGGUCUGAGAGGAUGAUCAGCCACACUGGGACUGAGACGCGGCCCAGACUCCUACGGGAGGCAGCAGUGGGGAAUAUUGGACAAUGGGCGGAAGCCUGAUCCAGCAAUGCCGCGUGAGUGAUGAAGGCCUUCGGGUUGUAAAGCUCUUUUGCCUGCGACGAUGAUGACGGUAGCAGGAGAAUAAGCCCCGGCUAACUUCGUGCCAGCAGCCGCGGUAAUACGAAGGGGGCUAGCGUUGUUCGGAAUUACUGGGCGUAAAGGGCGCGUAGGCGGCCCUAUCAGUCAGGCGUGAAAGCCCCGGGCUCAACCUGGGAAUUGCGCUUGAUACUGUAGGGCUUGAGGGUCGGAGAGGAUGGUGGAAUUCCCAGUGUAGAGGUGAAAUUCGUAGAUAUUGGGAAGAACACCGGUGGCGAAGGCGGCCAUCUGGACGACAUCUGACGCUGAGGCGCGAAAGCGUGGGGAGCAAACAGGAUUAGAUACCCUGGUAGUCCACGCUGUAAACGAUGAAUGCUAGACGUUG